UACAGAGGGUGCAAGCGUUAAUCGGAAUUACUGGGCGUAAAGCGCGCGUAGGUGGUUCGUUAAGUUGGAUGUGAAAUCCCCGGGCUCAACCUGGGAACUGCAUUCAAAACUGUCGAGCUAGAGUAUGGUAGAGGGUGGUGGAAUUUCCUGUGUAGCGGUGAAAUGCGUAGAUAUAGGAAGGAACACCAGUGGCGAAGGCGACCACCUGGACUGAUACUGACACUGAGGUGCGAAAGCC
rnacentral:rRNA from 1 species